AUGGAGGCUGUGGUCACUCUCUCCUUGAGGCACAGGUUCCCAGCCGCCGCCCUUGGUGGGGCUGCCUGCAGGCCUGCCGUGGGGCCCAGACAGCUGCAGCCGCAGCACCCCAAAUCAAGAAAUUUGCCAUCUAUCAAUGGGACCGAGACAAGACUGGAGACAAACCUCAUAUGCAAACUUAUGAGAUUGAUUUGAAUAACUGUGGUCUGAUGGUGCUGGAUGUUUUAAUCAAGAUUAAGAAUGAAAUUGAUUCCACCCUGACCUUCCGGAGAUCAUGCAGAGAAGGCAUCUGCGGUUCCUGUGCCAUGAACAUCAACAGAGGCAACUCUCUUGCAUGCACCCACAGGAUCAACACCAGCCUCAGCAAAGUUUCCAAAAUCUACCCUCUGCCACAUAUGUAUGUGAUAAAGGAUCUUGUUCCUGAUUUGAGCAACUUCUAUGCUCAGUACAAGUCCAUCGAGCCUUACUUAAAGAAGAAGGAUGAGUCCCAGGGAGGCAAGGAGCCGUAUCUGAAAUCCAUAGAAGACCAUGAGAAACUGGACAGGCUCUAUGAGUGUAUUCUCUGUGCCUGCUGCAGCACCAGCUGCCCAAGCUACUGGUGGAACGGAGAUGAGUACCUGGGCCCCACAGUCCUCAUGCAGGCCUAUCGCUGGAUGACUGACUCCAGAGACGAUUUCACAGCAGAGCGCCUGGCUAAGCUGCAGGACCCCUUCUCUCUGUACCGCUGCCACACCAUCAUGAACUGCACGUGGACCCACCCCAAGGGGCUAAAUCCUGGGAAAGCUAUUGCUGAAAUCAAGAAGAUGAUGGCAACCUAUAAAGAGAAGCAGGCUUCUGCUUAACUGCCACGCUCAA